UUGACCUCGGAUCAGGUAGGGAUACCCGCUGAACUUAAGCGCGGAGGAAAAGAAACCAACAGGGAUUGCCUCAGUAACGGCGAGUGAAGCGGCAAAAGCUCAAAUUUUAAAGCUGACAUCUUCGGUGUCCGCGUUGUAAUUUUGUGAGGCAUCUCCGGGUAGGGCGCCGGCCUAAGUUCCUUGGAACAGGACGUCACAGAGGGUGAGAAUCCCGUGCUUGGCUGGCUGUCCCCGUCCAUGUGAGGUGUCUUCGACGAGUCGAGUUGUUUGGGAAUGCAGCUCAAAAUGGGUGGUAAAUUUCAUCUAAAGCUAAAUAUUGGUGGGAGACCGAUAGCGCACAAGUAGAGUGAUCGAAAGAUGAAAAGCACUUUGAAAAUAGAGUUAAAAAGUACGUGAAAUUGUUGAAAGGGAAGCGCUUGAGAUCAGACUUCGGUAAGGGGUGAUCAGCCGUCCUUCUGGGCGGUGCACUUGCCCCCCUCCGGGCCAGCAUCGGUUGAGGCGGCGGGAUAAAGGUCCCGGGAAUGUGGCUCCUUCACGGGAGUGUUAUAGCCCGGGUGAAUGCCGCCAGCUUCGACCGAGGACCGCACCCGC
rnacentral:rRNA from 3 species